GACGGAGGUUGCUAGCGUUGUUCGGAAUUACUGGGCGUAAAGGGCGCGUAGGCGGCCGCUCAAGUCGGGUGUGAAAGCCCGGGGCUCAACCCCGGAACUGCACUCGAGACUGGGUGGCUGGAGAUCGGAAGAGGAGAGUGGAACACCCAGUGUAGAGGUGAAAUUCGUAGAUAUUGGGUAGAACACAGGUGGCGAAAGCGGCUCUCUGGUCCGAUUCUGACGCUGAGGCGCGAAAGCGUGGGGAGCAAACAGG
rnacentral:rRNA from 1 species